UACAGAGGGUGCGAGCGUUGUCCGGAAUCACUGGGCGUAAAGGGCGCGUAGGCGGCCUGGGAAGUAGGGGGUGAAAUCCUGCGGCUUAACCGCAGGGCUGCCUUCUAAACUGUCAGGCUCGAGCACAGUAGAGGCAGGUGGAAUUCCCGGUGUAGCGGUGGAAUGCGUAGAGAUCGGGAAGAACAUCAGUGGCGAAGGCGGCCUGCUGGGCUGUUGCUGACGCUGAGGCGCGACAGCGUGGGGAGCAAACAGG
rnacentral:rRNA from 1 species